CGGACGGGUGAGUAACACGUGGAUAAUCUACCUAUAAGACUGGGAUAACUUCGGGAAACCGGAGCUAAUACCGGAUAAUAUAUUGAACCGCAUGGUUCAAUAGUGAAAGACGGUUUUGCUGUCACUUAUAGAUGGAUCCGCGCCGCAUUAGCUAGUUGGUAAGGUAACGGCUUACCAAGGCAACGAUGCGUAGCCGACCUGAGAGGGUGAUCGGCCACACUGGAACUGAGACACGGUCCAG
rnacentral:rRNA from 1 species